rnacentral:lncRNA from 1 species
AAAGCACCAUGUUCGUCUCUGAUACAAAUCCCAAUGCCAACUCUGUCAGAGCUCGGCGGGAAGGAAGCAUCUAUGUUGCAUUUCACUCGGCCGGUCGUUGUUCUACGCCAAGAUCUUACCACGGAGUCCUGAAAAGUCGGGCCUGGCUUGGAAGCGACAAUACGGACUGCUUUCCAAUCCUGCAACAUAUUAACAGCACGGGAAAAAACAAAAUGUUGAGCAUCAAUUACAUUAUUCCAAAUCUGAUUAUUACGUUGCUUCCAAAUACUCCACAAAACACAAGCAAAUACUGCUGAAUCAUCUUUC